UCCAGGCUGUGUACUGAUCUCCUAAAUCCAGGAGGGGUGGGACCCUUUGGAGAACACAGUUCUGCAAACCCGGCAUGGAGAAAGGGCUGAGGGUGGAAGGACAGGAGCCUAGGAUCCGGGCUCCAGUCCUGCCUUUUGGACAGGCCAUUUCCUAAGCCUCCCUCAUCCUCAGUGUCCUCUGUAAAAACUGCCUGCAUUGCUUUCUAACAGCUAUCGCAAGGACCGACCCAUAGUUUCUAUCGCUUAUUUUGUGCCUAGUAAGUGCCACAGUGUAGAAAGCGUAUUACCUCUAAUACCUCGUUUAAUCUUCACAGCAUCCCUAUGAGGAAAGGCGGUCUAAUUAUUCCCGUUUUUGGGGGUGAGGAAACUGAGGCACGAAGAGGUGAAAUCCAUUGCCCAAGGUCACCUAACUCAGCCACGCUUCAAGCCCAGGCAGCCUGAACACAACUUAACCAAAAUCUGUUUUAACUCAGACCCUACUAGUCAUCCACCCUGCUCUGGGUCCUAGUGAGGAAAGUGAGGCUUGUGGAACAGAAGGGGACCAGAUCCCCUGGCUCCCCGCCGGUAGUUCUUCUCACCACCCUGGGUGCCACUGCCCACCAUGGAUGGGACUCCUUCAGCUAACUCAGGGGAAUGAGCGCGCACCGCAGGCACGCCCGCCGCCAAAAACCAACUUCCCCCGGGCGCGCGGAGGCAGCCGGGGCCACCCCCGGGCCGGGUCGCUUACCUGUCGCGGAGCGGGUCCGGGUGACAGAGGGGAGAAGCGCGGAGACCGAAAGCAGCAACAGCAGGGGCCACCACCGUCCGUUCCUCCUGCAAGAAGUGGGGGCGAGAAGCCCAGGGAGGCUGGAGUCACUGUGAUUUCCUUAAAUGACAAAUGAAGAAACUGAGGCUCAGAGAGGCCGGGAGAAUAUACAAGGGCACACAGAAGGACUGAGCUCCUAACUGCUGUGCCUACCCUGCACGCCUGACACACGAACCCCACGUGAAUGCCCAGAAAUGGCCCCGUGAUAUAUACAAAUCCAUGCCGCAAAGAUAACCCUAAUAAAAAAUUGAACGUAUCUGAUA